CAAUACGCCUCCCGGGUCGAGCGCUGCGGCUGCCGGCACCGUCACCGCCAUUGCCACCGCCGACGCGAGGUAUUUCUCCUUCACUUAAGGGAAGUGAGCCCCACCCACGUCAGACCAGCUGCUUGGGACGUCUGCAGGUUCAUAAGUCUGGACCUCUCCUGCCAGAGAAGAAAUGUAUCAAGCAAGACCCCUCUCUAGGAACCUCUUUUUGUACACCUUCCUGCAAAACCAUGGCCCUGGCUUCCUGGAUGACCAACGUGAGGGGCUACCCGGCGUGACCAAUAUCUUGGAGUUCCACCCUGUCUCCCCCUACAGUGACGGCCCCCAUUACUUGGCCAUGCAGCUGGCCUCCAUUGCUGACGAGAUGGAACUGAGGCUGCUGCUACCCCAGUUCGUCGAGCCCAUCCGGAUGACCGUGUACAGGAAUUGCUGAGUGAGCCAAGACGGAGCUCUGUGCCCAGCCGUGUGGGCGGAGCCUUCUGCAUGGGACGGGCUCUCGCGUGAGGAGGACUCAGCUUCCGGGAAUCGCCGGCUUCCUUGCAGGUUCUCGGAACCUCACAGAAUUGCCCAGGUGGGGACAGAGAGACCCUACCACAAAAGACCAGGAUGCAAGCUGACACGGUCCCUUGGUCUCCGGGGAGGCAGCCUUCCUCUGAGGAGCCCGGGCCUCUCAGAACACGGCUCCUCCUCCCCUGGACCUGCCUCUGGGCCGGUGGGCAGCAGGGCGUUGCCCUGGGUCCGGCUCCGGGACGCAAGUCCAGACCCCUAGCAGGAUGACUACAGGACCACCAACAGCCCAUGGAGAGAGGCCUCUCAUUGGUGGAGGCGCCCAGGGAAGGGGGAUAGGGUGACAGUUGUCACCUCCAGUCAAGGCCGUCUCUGCCCCUGUUCCUGCGUAAUGGCCCUGCCCCCCUUUGUCUUACAGCUUGUUUUUCCCUACAGCCACAUAGGACUGAGGGACGUUCUUAGAAGUUUUAUGGUGGCUUUCACUAACCUCAGGGAGAACAGAAGCCUCUGGAGCUUCCUGACCCUCAGGGACAGGGUGUCCCCCAGCCCGUGGCCCGAGCUGGCGCUGUCCCUGCUGCUGGUGGUGACGCUCAGCUGGGGGCGCCGCCUCCACUGACCCGCUGCUGGCCCGCGUGGGGUGGGGCUGGCCCCCCGCCCGCUCUGCCACCACCCUGGAGGUGGCCUUGUCGGUUUGGCUGGCUUUUAACUGUUUUCUGUUGCCCCUUUUUUAUAUUUAAACUCCGAGUGCUGGGACACUGAGGUUCAUACUAGUUUUUCCCUUGUUUUUGUAAGAGAAAUGAAUUUAUUUUACCUCUGGGGUCAUUACUGGUUAAUGACCUGCUCUCCUGGCCCCAGCCUGCUCUGCGGGGGCCUGUCCUGAGGAGGAGCCUCCCUCUCUGGGGUCGGUCAAAUAGUGCGCAGCGGGGGGAGUGCUGGCCACACCCCCGUAUCCGUGAUGCCCGUGGCAAAAAGAAUCUGCUGGAAUAGAUUUCUGUGGGGUGAGGAGAGCUCAAUAAAAUGUUGGUUUCCAGACAGCCUCUGGUCCUCUCCGG